GACGAACCCGUGCGAACGUUGUUCGGAAUCACUGGGCUUAAAGGGCGCGUAGGCGGGUCAGCCAGUCCGGGGUGAAAUCCUUCGGCUUAACCGGAGAACUGCCUCGGAGACGACUGAUCUGGAGGGAGGUAGGGGCGGCCGGAACUUCCGGUGGAGCGGUGAAAUGCGUUGAUAUCCUAAGGAACACCGGUGGCGAAAGCGGCUCACUGGAUCUUUUCUGACGCUGAGGCACGAAAGCUAGGGUAGCGAACGGGAUUAGAAACCCUGGUAGU
rnacentral:rRNA from 1 species